GAGCGUUGACAGGCGGCCGCCGUCGCACGGUUGUUCCGUGAGGAGUGAGCGGCGCGACGGAGGAAAGUCCGGACACGACAGGACACGGUGGUGGGUAACGCCCACCCGCUCGCGGUCGGCGAGCGAGGGAAAGUGCCACAGAGAACAGACCGCCGAUGGAUCGCGCGAGCGAUCACAGGUAAGGGUGAAACGGUGCGGUAAGAGCGCACCGCCCGGCUGGUGACAGUCGGGGCACGGUAAACCCCACCGCGUGCAAGGUCAUACAGCCCCCGUGUCGGCCUCGGCCGGCAACGCCCUGUCCGGUCGGAAUGGGGGCGGGUGGACCGCUGAUGAUCGCGUCGGCAACGGCGCGGCGAGAGAAACGGUCGCCCAUCCGCGGGAGCGCAAGGGCCCGCGGUGGACAGCAUCCGGUGUAUCGUCAACGCCCGACC
rnacentral:RNase_P_RNA from 1 species